GGAGACAAAGGCAGAAAUAUGGAGAAAAAAAAAACUAAAACAUAAGAACAGAGACACCACCGCAGCACCACUUCAAUAUAACGGAUGGGACGUGACACCGCUCCACAGCCCUGAUAUGAUUUAAGCUCCUCUGCUGAAGCCCGCUUGCAAAGGUAAAAGACAGGAUGAAGCGAGAGCCGGGAGAAGAAAGUGAGGAGGGAUAACGCAAACAGAGGAGAAAGCAAAGGGGAAGUGCAAGAGCCGGGGCGGAAGAUAAAAGCGAGGCCAGGUAAAGGGAAGAACUAACUGACAUGAGGAAUCUCUUACUCGUGAGCACAACCAACUUUAAAACAAAUAGCUGGAGAGAAGCGCUCGCUGCGUUUCUUGACUGGGACUCUGUGGCGGCGGUGAAAAGAGCCUGUAACGCUGUACGUUUUUGAAGCCUCUCCCCGGAGGUGUCUUUGAAGUGUGGCAAUGGGAGCGGGAGGAGAUUGGAGCGGAUGGGCCUCAGACUGAAAACACGUGUGAUGAGUUCACUCAUUCAUGUUUUCCUCAAGUGCUACAGCCCGUCUUUGUAGCGGUGAAGCCCGUUAAAUAGCGCUGGGACGGGUUGAACUGGGUUCAGCCUGUUUAGCCUCUUCAUGUUUUACCUUUCAUGCGAGCACUGUUUAAAGCAUACCAGAUAUACCAGACCAGGUUUCUGCAGUGCUACUGCUGCAGCUCUGUAUGUCGCUGUCGAUCACCGACUUAAGCUCCAGCAGGUAUGUUGACAUUUUUUGUCUUUGAGUGAAACAUUGACAACUAUUGCAUAGUAUUCCAUAAAUGUUGGGACAGAUAUGGAGCUCACUGGAUGUAUUCUAAUUAUUUUGGUGAAUUCCAGACUGUCCUCUGAAGCCAGUGUGCACGGUGGCUGUUACAUCUCUAUUUCACAUGAAACUGCUGAGUUGUCGCGCUAGCACCGAUGACAGAACUGGUAACCAUUUAAAACGGCGCUGCUCUCUGUGCAGCGAGUGAAGAAAGUGGCUUAAUUGGUUAGCAGCAUGAAAUGACACUGCUGAGCCCUCUGAGGCUCUCUUCACAGGGGCUUUUCUCCAGUCAGUCAGCGCGGCCACCAUCCCCCCCCCCUCCGGGUUUCAAAGGAGAGGGUCUUGGGAUUUGGACCACCUGCGUGGGCCGGUGCCUGCAGUUUCCAAGAGACAUACUUCUGGUGCAUCGGGGGGUCGUGGCCCCGCUUUAGUGGAACAUCUGGUGUGAAUGUGCCACACACGUGUUCCCUCGCGUGGAUGGUGUCAGCGCGUCGACAGGGACCUCAGCGUCACUUUGUGGGGCUGCUUUGUCAGUAAAUUCUACUAAGAAGGCCGUUCCGAGUGAAGGUUUAGUGUCUCACUGUGCAAUCAGCAGCACAGCGUGUAAAAAAAAAAAAAAAAAAAAAAAAAUCCCUUAAUUAACUGGUCUUUCUAACAAGUGAGGACAAUUUUUACAUUCUAAUUAGGUCAGCUGGUGGCUCCCAGUUGUAACCCAUCCCUCCUUUAUUGUUCCUACCUGAUAUACUGUAUCUUCAUUUCCCCUGUCUC